rnacentral:misc_RNA from 1 species
CAUCAUCAUUAUUUUCUUGACCGUCUUCUGAAGCACCAUUGGUUAGCUCUACAAAACUUUUGGCAUCAGAAAUCUGCUUGUCAUCAUUAGAACUAGCACCUUUUGUGGCCCAGUUACACCGAAUUUGUCUGCUACCAAGCCACUUUCCAUUCAAGUCAUUUAUUGCAUUUUGAGCAUCCUGCUGACUCCUGAAAGAAACAAA